GACAUGUCCUGAAGCUGGAGAGAUCCGGGUCGUGCCCGAAAGGGAACGGGAACACAGGUGCUGCAUGGCUGUCGUCAGCUCGUGUCGUGAGAUGUUGGGUUAAGUCCCGCAACGAGCGCAACCCUUGUCAUUAGUUGCUACAUUUGGUUGGGCACUCUAAUGAGACUGCCGGUGACAAACCGGAGGAAGGUGGGGAUGACGUCAAGUCCUCAUGGCCCUUAUGGGUAGGGCUUCGCACGUAAUACAAUGGCGCGUACAGAGGGUUGCCAAGCCGCGAGGUGGAGCCAAUCCCAGAAAGCGCGUCGUAGUCCGGAUUGCAGUCUGCAACUCGACUGCAUGAAGUCGGAAUCGCUAGUAAUCGCGGAUCAGCAUGUCGCGGUGAAUACGUUCCCGGGUCUU
rnacentral:rRNA from 1 species